GAGGCUUUAGUAUAAUGUUAGUAUAUUUUAUUUUCAAUAAAAUGGUAAAUAAGUCUAU
rnacentral:tRNA from 1 species